rnacentral:rRNA from 1 species
UACGAAGGGGGCUAGCGUUGCUCGGAAUCACUGGGCGUAAAGGGCGCGUAGGCGGACUCUUAAGUCGGUGGUGAAAUCCUGGAGCUCAACUCCAGAACUGCCUUCGAUACUGAGAGUCUCGAGUCCGAGAGAGGUGAGUGGAACUGCGAGUGUAGAGGUGAAAUUCGUAGAUAUUCGCAAGAACACCAGUGGCGAAGGCGGCUCACUGGCUCGGCACUGACGCUGAGGUGCGAAAGCGUGGGGAGCAAACAGG